CCAUGGCUGUAGUGACAAAGUGUCUGCUUAGCAUGCAGAAAGUCCCAGGUUCGAGCCCUGUGAGUGAAGGG
rnacentral:tRNA from 1 species